UCUCUGGGCGACUGUGGAGAGGACGGCAAGCGGCUGCGUGGCGAUCUCGUCUUCGUCGCCGGGUAUAGGGCAAGAAGGUCCUGCCGGCAAUGGAGAGAGAGGGGGCCAAGGUUGGGAAACAAUUUCACCAGAUCUGCUAGAGAUUUCCAUGGAGCAGAGGCGACAAGCCGAGCCUCACCGUCUAGGGUUUCCUAGACCCAGCCACCCGAGCUUUUAGAUCGAGGACGAUGGCGACCACCGCUGCCGCCGCCGGUCGACCCGCAUCUCUCGCCUGCAAGUAUCGCGCCGCCGCGGCUCCGCGUAACGCUGGUCGACCCACAGCGCUCAGCCUGCAGCGCUCAACCCGCAGGUACGCUCCCGUGCCCGACCUAGAGCGCGGCGGCGGUGGCCAGAUCCCGAGCGCAGCAGCGGCGUGCACCUCGUCGUUGUCAUCGGCAGCGACCGUGAAGGUCGCCCCAGCCAGCGUCAAUGAUGUAGAGGUGCUGCACGCGCGAAUCUCGUCCUCCUCCGGCCGCGAGACAUUCUCCAUGGCAGGCGGAGAUGAGAAGGAGCGGAGGUGUGCUGUUGGUGUGCAGCUGGGCGUCUCCUCUCUCUCUAUCCCUUGUGCUCCUCCGUCAUGGGAUGGCUCUCCAAGUCCACUGUCCACACCCUCACGCUUUACAAGGGACUCCAAUUCAAGACUAGAUAUCAAAUAUUAGACUUGGGAAGGAGGUGAUUCAUCGGCUAGCAGUGACCACGGAGAAGAAGUGGUGACUGGCAUGUGAGCUGAGGUGGUUGUGAGGACAACUUGAUGUUGCUCUGGCGUGGGAAGCAGAGGGUGACCUCCUACUCAAUAGACAUGGGCAUGGUGGGAAUGCCGGUGCGGUAGACAACAUCGGCAGCAAUUGCUACGGCAACAUCAAGUGAAAGGAUUGGCAGGGAGCCAGCGAGGGCAUUGAGGCGGACUCAUGGGGGCGAGUGGGAAUUGCGACCGCCGAGAUUUUGUUGACUAUAUGGUGCCGCAACACCUCGAUUGGUUAACAUCCACGUCGACUGAGCCCUCCCAACACCUCGCAGAUACGUCGGCCCCUGAUGUUGGUGAUUGCAUGCGUGAAAGUUGCAGAGGCGGGGUGGCGAUCUGGCAACCACGAGCAGUGCAGCCACUCUGUCGACCAUGAGCUGAUCAAUUCCCUUACAUACAGUUUUUUUCUUAUUUGAUUGGUGAAAUACCUGAUGGACGUGGGUUUUCUAAACUUUGAAAAGCACCACAAACAAGAGGUCUACCAACACGGGUUGCUACUUUAUAUUUCUAUGUACAAAUUGCAAUAACGUAUCAAUUUACCCUCAAACUUUUAUUUUCUUUUUUUCAGAAAUUAAUGAGUACGAAGCCAGCAAAGUUGAUAUUGGGCCUAGAAGCUAGAACCCUAAUGUAUGUGUUUUAUGUGGCUCGAGUUCAGUUCUGGUGGCUGCAUGUUAGGUAAUAGAAGUUGUUUCAUGGCUAAAUUAAUUCUACUGAAGGCUGAUCCAAUACAUGCUAUUAUUCAUCAUAUAUUAUGAUUAGAAAUAGACAUGUUAGACAUCUGAUCAUAUCGAUGAUAAAAUCAUUUGUCCUCCUCAUAUGCAUCAUAUAUAUGUGUUAUUCUUUCCCACUCAAAGUGAUAAACACAUAGGGGAAAGGAAGUAUGACUCAAUUUCUUCAGGCUAUCAUAGUUGUUAAUCUAAGAGGGGAAAUGCCAAGGAAUUGAUGACUAUGUAUUUGAGCAGUACUUGAACCUCCAUGACUAUGUAUUUGAGCAGUACUGUGUAUGUGUAAGAACCAUCUACUAAAGUUUAUAUGUAAUAUGUUCCAAUGCUAUGCUUUUAUGCAGUAUAUUACUAUGGUUUCACCACCUGUGUUUAUAUGUUCUUCGUUCUAAUAAUUAGAUAGCUCCUACAAUAAUAUUCUUUUUCUAAAUGCAUUU